rnacentral:misc_RNA from 1 species
CAGAGUUCAUGCCCUUCGGGGUAGACCUCCCACCCUUGUGUAUUUAUACCUUUGUUGCUUUGGCAGGCCGUCGGGCUCGUCCCGGCUACCGGCUUCGGCUGGUGCGUGCCUGCCAGAGGACCCCAAACUCUGUGUUUAGUGUUGUCUGAGUACUAAGUUAAUACGUUA